ACAGCAGGCUCCUCCCAGUGGCAGGAAGCAUGGUCCAGUCACUCUCAUCCCACACAUUUCUCAGCCUCCUCUACUCAGCAUUCUGCCUGGGAAAUCCCAGGAGAGGACUUGUGCCAAAGGGAAGAAAAUUAGGCCAGGGAGGCCCAGUGACUUGCCCAAAGUCCCCGCCUGUGACUGGAUGCAGCUCCCAGGAAGCACAGCCUCCUUCUGAGCAACAGACAGGCAGGAAGCGUCACCAGGGAGCUUUCUCACCACUCGCCGGCACGCUCCAGCCUCCUUCUGACCUUCUCACUUGUGACAUGAUGGCAAGGUCUGGAGUCAGUGCAAGCCGUCCAGCUGAUACCUGUCCACACAGUCCCCACACACCACACUGCGCUCCAGCACCUGCAGCAGGAUCAGCUGGGAGGACCUGUUACCACGUAACACACUGCGCUCCAGCACCUGCAGCAGAGUCAGCUGGGAGGACCUGUUACCACGUAACACACUGCGCUCCAGCACCUGCAGCAGGAUCAGCUGGGAGGACCUGUUACCACGUAACACACUGCGCUCCAGCACCUGCAGCAGAGUCAGCUGGGAGGACCUGUGAGCCUUCCAGAUACCAAGACUGCGGCUCAGUUCACUGAGCCAGAGUCUCCAGGGUAGGGCCCAGGCAGCUGAAGGGAUCCCAGGGCACAUGCUAAUUCUUUGGGAUGAAGGGGGAAAGUGAUAGAAUUUACUUUUCAUAAUUUUUUUUCUCAUCCUUUCACAUUUUCUACUUUGUGUAUGUGUUUUGUAGUGUACCUAAUAUAUUAACAUUGUACUAAAUGCAUACAACACAUAAAUAAAUAAAUAAAUAAAUAAAUAAA